rnacentral:lncRNA from 1 species
AUCUUGCUGCUUACAUAACAAAUACUUCAUCAACAAACCUGUCUCCCAUUUAUUUCUCUUCCUGUCUUUCUUCCAUCCUCUGGCCUUUGACCUCUCUCCUUCUUCUUCUCAACUUCUUUGCCUUUCUCCUCCGCACCCUCCUUCCCUCCCCUCCCUCCCCAGUUCUCAAUGCUGAGAGCCUCUAAAUGGGUUCCUCUCCUGCUCUCCCCAGCCCCCUGCCUUGGUGCUGUGAGGUCCUCAGGCCCUGAGAGGGAGGUGGGUCACCAGCAGCCACAGAAAGUCAUGGCAGUAGGUUGAUCACCGGAAGCAUGGCUAAGACUGAGUCCAGGUGUGGCUCAGGCUUUGUGACACUCUUUUUUUUUUUUUUUUUUUUCUGUUUGCCCUGGACACUGGCUGGAGGAAUGAGGCCUGGAAGCAGGAAGCAAAAGAUCAGCUCGGAGAGAAGGAAGAGUGCUGCCCCAGACACAGCGGGUGCCCCAUCUUCUUCAGGCAUCAGCAAUGAAAGACCUCGGCUGACUUCAGUUUUCCAGAUGAAAACAUCUGUACACCUGCAGGACACUGAAAACCUGCAGCUGCUAGGACAGAGGCUUCUUAGGACUCACCUGCCUUGGAGGACCAACACUGCCCAGCAUCUGCCAUCUGUGUGUUUGGAAAGGAGCUAAUGGGACUCUGUCACCACCUGCUGGCAUGGAGUGGAACUGCAACCCAGCUAUACUAGGCACUGCAAACUGUUCAAAGAAUGGAGGAGUGGUGGGUGGGUAUGGAAAAUUCUGUAGAAAUAAACAUGUUUACUCC